rnacentral:rRNA from 1 species
AACGAACGCUGGCGGCAGGACGAACACAUGCAAGAAGAACGAGCGUAGCAAUAGGUCCGUGGCAGACGGGUGAGGAACACGUGGGAACCUUCGUAGGGGUACGGAACAACUCAGGGAAACUUGAGCGAAUACCGUAUACGUGCGAGAGGAGACAGAUUUAUCGCCCUUAGACGGGCCCGCGUCGGAUUAGGUAGUUGGUGGGGUAACGGCCUACCAAGCCGACGAUCCGUAGCUGAUCUGAGAAGAUGAUCAGCCACACUGGGACUGCGACACGGCCCAGACUCCUACGGGAGGCAGCAGUGGGGAAUCUUGGACAAUGGGCGCAAGCCUGAUCCAGCCAUGCCGCGUGAGUGAAGAAGGCCUUAGUGUUGUAAAGCUCUUUUGGCAGGGACGAUAAUGACGGUACCUGCAGAAUAAGCCCCGGCAAACUUCGUGCCAGCCGCCGCCGUAACAC